UACAGAGGGGGCAAGCGUUGUUCGGAAUUACUGGGCGUAAAGGGCGCGUAGGCGGCGCGGUUAGUCGGCGGUGAAAGCCCGAGGCUCAACUUCGGGUCGGCCGUCGAUACUGCUGCGCUGGAGCACUGUAGAGGCAGAUGGAAUUCCGGGUGUAGCGGUGGAAUGCGUAGAGAUCCGGAAGAACACCGGUGGCGAAGGCGGUCUGCUGGGCAGUUGCUGACGCUGAUGCGCGACAGCGUGGGGAGCAAACAGG
rnacentral:rRNA from 1 species